rnacentral:rRNA from 1 species
CGUACACUCCUGCGGGAGGCAGCAGUGAGGAAUAUUGGACAAUGGGUGGAAGCCUGAUCCAGCCAUCCCGCGUGCAGGAAGACGGCCCUAUGGGUUGUAAACUGCUUUUAUCUGGGGAUAAACCUACUUACGUGUAAGUAGCUGAAGGUACCAGAAGAAUAAGCACCGGCUAACUCCGUGCCAGCAGCCGCGGUAAUACGGAGGGUGCAAGCGUUAUCCGGAUUUAUUGGGUUUAAAGGGUCCGUAGGCGGACUGAUAAGUCAGUGGUGAAAUCCGACAGCUUAACUGUCGAACUGCCAUUGAUACUGUUAGUCUUGAGUAAGGUUGAAGUGGCUGGAAUAAGUAGUGUAGCGGUGAAAUGCAUAGAUAUUACUUAGAACACCAAUUGCGAAGGCAGGUCACUAAGUCUUAACUGACGCUGAUGGACGAAAGCGUGGGGAGCGAACAGGAUUAGAAACCCCAGUAGUCCCA